rnacentral:tRNA from 1 species
GGAGAGGUGACUGAGUGGUCGAAAGUGCGACCUUGGAAAGGUCGUGUACCCUCGUGGUACCUAGGGUUCGAAUCCCUACCUCUCCG